AUUGAACGCUGGCGGCAGGCCUAACACAUGCAAGUCGAACGAGUGGCGGACGGGUGAGUAAUGUCUGGGAAACUGCCUGAUGGAGGGGGAUAACUACUGGAAACGGUAGCUAAUACCGCAUACCAUCGGAUGUGCCCAGAUGGGAUUAGCUAGUAGGUGGGGUAAAGGCUCACCUAGGCGACGAUCCCUAGCUGGUCUGAGAGGAUGACCGGCAACACUGGAACUGAGACACGGUCCAUACUCCUACGGGAGGCAGCAGAGGGGAAUAUUUGACAAUGGGCGCAAGCCUGACGCAGCCAUGCCGCGUGUGUGGAGACGGCCCUCGGGUUGUAAAGUACUUUCAGCGGGGAGGCGUUACCCGCAGAAGAAGCACCGGCUAACUCCGUGCCAGCAGCCGCGGUAAUUC
rnacentral:rRNA from 1 species